rnacentral:rRNA from 1 species
AAUGAACGCUGGCGGCAUGCCUUACACAUGCAAGUCGAACGGCAGCAUGACCUAGCUUGCUAGGUUGAUGGCGAGUGUCGCACGGGUGAGUAAUGCAUCGGAACGUGCCUUUUUGUGGGGGAUAACGUAGCGAAAGUUACGCUCAUACCGCAUAUUCUAUGUGGAGGAAAACAGGGGACCUUCGGGCCUUGCGCUCGAAGAACGGCCGAUGUCGGAUUAGCUAGUUGGUGAGGUAAAGGCUCACCAAGGCAACGAUCCGUAGCGGGUCUGAGAGGAUGAUCCGCCACACUGGGACUGAGACAAGGCCCAGACUCCUACGGGAGGCAGCAGUGGGGAAUUUUGGACAAUGGGCGCAAGCCUGAUCCAGCCAUGCCGCGUGAGUGAAGAAGGCCUUCGGGUUGUAAAGCUCUUUCGGCUGGGAAGAAAUCGCACCCUCUAAUACAGGGUGUGGAUGACGGUACCAGCAUAAGAAGCACCGGCUAACUACGUG